UUUUAUGGAGAGUUUGAUCCUGGCUCAGGAUGAACGCUGGCGGCGUGCCUAAUACAUGCAAGUCGAGCGAACAGACGAGGAGCUUGCUCCUCUGACGUUAGCGGCGGACGGGUGAGUAACACGUGGAUAACCUACCUAUAAGACUGGGAUAACUUCGGGAAACCGGAGCUAAUACCGGAUAAUAUAUUGAACCGCAUGGUUCAAUAGUGAAAGACGGUUUUGCUGUCACUUAUAGAUGGAUCCGCGCCGCAUUAGCUAGUUGGUAAGGUAACGGCUUACCAAGGCAACGAUGCGUAGCCGACUGAGAGGGUGAUCGGCCACACUGGAACUGAGACACGGUCCAGACUCCUACGGGAGGCAGCAGUA
rnacentral:rRNA from 1 species